GAUGAACGCUAGCUACAGGCUUAACACAUGCAAGUCGAGGGGCAGCAUGGUCUUAGUUUGCUAAGGCUGAUGGCGACCGGCGCACGGGUGAGUAACACGUAUCCAACCUGCCGUCUACUCUUGGCCAGCCUUCUGAAAGGAAGAUUAAUCCAGGAUGGGAUCAUGAGUUCACAUGUCCGCAUGAUUAAAGGUAUUUUCCGGUAGACGAUGGGGAUGCGUUCCAUUAGAUAGUAGGCGGGGUAACGGCCCACCUAGUCAACGAUGGAUAGGGGUUCUGAGAGGAAGGUCCCCCACAUUGGAACUGAGACACGGUCCAAACUCCUACGGGAGGCAGCAGUGAGGAAUAUUGGUCAAUGGGCGAUGGCCUGAACCAGCCAAGUAGCGUGAAGGAUGACUGCCCUAUGGGUUGUAAACUUCUUUUAUAAGGGAAUAAAGUGAGUCACGUGUGACUUUUUGCAUGUACCCUAUGAAUAAGGGCCGGCUAAUUCCGUGCCAGCCGCCGCGGUAAAAGGGCGAAUUCG
rnacentral:rRNA from 1 species